rnacentral:rRNA from 1 species
GAUGAACGCUGGCGGCGUGCCUAGUACAUGCAAGUCGAGCGAACAGAUGAGGAGCUUGCUCCUCUGACGUUAGCGGCGGACGGGUGAGUAACACGUGGAUAACCUACCUAUAAGACUGGGAUAACUUCGGGAAACCGGAGCUAAUACCGGAUAAUAUAUUGAACCGCAUGGUUCAAUAGUGAAAGACGGUUUUGCUGUCACUUAUAGAUGGAUCCGCGCUGCAUUAGCUAGUUGGUAAGGUAACGGCUUACCAAGGCAACGAUGCGUAGCCGACCUGAGAGGGUGAUCGGCCACACUGGAACUGAGACACGGUCCAGACUCCUACGGGAGGCAGCAGUAGGGAAUCUUCCGCAAUGGGCGAAAGCCUGACGGAGCAACGCCGCGUGAGUGAUGAAGGUCUUCGGAUCGUAAAACUCUGUUAUUAGGGAAGAACAAAUGUGUAAGUAACUAUGCACGUCUUGACGGUACCUAAUCAGAAAGCCACGGCUAACUACGUG